rnacentral:rRNA from 1 species
UUGGACAAUGGGCGCAAGCCUGAUCCAGCAAUGCCGCGUGCAGGAAGAAGGCCUUCGGGUUGUAAACUGCUUUUGUACGGAACGAAACGGUCUGGGAUAAUACCCUGGGCUAAUGACGGUACCGUAAGAAUAAGCACCGGCUAACUACGUGCCAGCAGCCGCGGUAAUACA